CCUACGGGUGGCUGCAGUGAGGAAUAUUGGUCAAUGGACGAGAGCCUGAACCAGCCAAGUAGCGUGAAGGAUGACUGCCCUACGGGUUGUAAACUUCUUUUAUAAGGGAAUAAAGUGAGGCACGUGUUCCUUUUUGUAUGUACUUUAUGAAUAAGGAUCGGCUAACUCCGUGCCAGCAGCCGCGGUAAUACGGAGGAUCCGAGCGUUAUCCGGAUUUAUUGGGUUUAAAGGGAGCGUAGGGGGGUUGUUAAGUUGGUGGUGAAAGUCUGCGGCUCAACCGUAGAAUUGCUAUUGUUACUGGCAGCCUUGAGUGCAGUGGAGGUAGGCGGAAUUCGUGGUGUAGCGGUGAAAUGCUUAGAUAUCACGAAGAACUCCGAUUGCGAAGGCAGCUUACUAAACUGCCACUGACAUUGAUGCUCGAAAGUGUGGGUAUCAAACAGGAUUAGAUACCCUAGUAGUC
rnacentral:rRNA from 1 species